GGAGCAGCAGCAGCAGCAGUAGCGAUGAUUCUCGAGAUGGACAAGGGCCUCACGUCGGGCGCGCAGCACACGGAACUCCUGCCGGCCGGUGGUUCGCGAGCUGCACGACGAACCGAGGCCACCCCGAGUUCCAUUCCCGGCUAACAUCAGUGGCGCGUUAAAUGUGAGCCGGUCGUGGGCCUCCCCUAGGUCGACUCAGCCUCGUGCACCGCGUCCCGGCCUUAAUAGCCGUGCGUGGGGCCAAGUGGUGAGCGCGCUGCCUUACGAACUCGAUCUGUGGCCAGGA